GAUGAACGCUGGCGGCGUGCCUAAUACAUGCAAGUCGAGCGAACGGACGAGAAGCUUGCUUCUCUGAUGUUAGCGGCGGACGGGUGAGUAACACGUGGAUAACCUACCUAUAAGACUGGGAUAACUUCGGGAAACCGUAGCUAAUACCGGAUAAUAUUUUGAACCGCAUGGUUCAAAAGUGAAAGACGGUCUUGCUGUCACUUAUAGAUGGAUCCGUGCUGCAUUAGCUAGUUGGUAAGGUAACGGCUUACCAAGGCAACGAUGCAUAGCCGACCUGAGAGGGUGAUCGGCCACACUGGAACUGAGACACGGUCCAGACUCCUACGGGAGGCAGCAGUAGGGAAUCUUCCGCAAUGGGCGAAAGCCUGACGGAGCAACGCCGCGUGAGUGAUGAAGGUCUUCGGAUCGUAAAACUCUGUUAUUAGGGAAGAACAUAUGUGUAAGUAACUGUGCACAUCUUGACGGUACCUAAUCAGAAAGCCACGGCUAACUACGUG
rnacentral:rRNA from 1 species